rnacentral:rRNA from 1 species
UACGAGGGCCUCAAGCGUUAUCCGGAAUCAUUGGGCGUAAAGGGUGUGUAGGCGGCUUUGUUAGUCUUCUGUCAAAUUCUUCGGCUUAACCGGGGGUCCGCAGGAGAAACGGCAAAGCUUGAGGAUGCGAGAGGUCUGUGGAACUCUAGGUGUAGGGGUGAAAUCCGUUGAUAUCUAGGGGAACACCAAAAGCGAAGGCAGCAGACUGGCGCACUCCUGACGCUGAAACACGAAAGCGUGGGUAGCGAAUGGG